GAUGAACGCUAGCGGCAGGCCUAACACAUGCAAGUCGAACGGUAACAUUGAUGCUUGCAUCAGAUGACGAGUGGCGCACGGGUGCGUAACGCGUAUACAAUCUACCUUUUACAGGGGGAUAGCCUUUAGAAAUGAAGAAUAAUACCCCAUAAUACUAUUAAUUGGCAUCAAUGAAUAGUUAAAGUUCCGGCGGUAAAAGAUGAGUAUGCGUUCUAUUAGCUAGUAGGUAAGGUAACAGCUUACCUAGGCAACGAUAGAUAGGGGCCCUGAGAGGGGGAUCCCCCACACUGGUACUGAGACACGGACCAGACUCCUACGGGAGGCAGCAGUGAGGAAUAUUGGACAAUGGGCGCGAGCCUGAUCCAGCCAUGCCGCGUGCAGGAAGACUGCCCUAUGGGUUGUAAACUGCUUUUGUAUAGGAAGAAACCCAUCUACGCGUAGAUGGCUGACGGUACUAUAAGAAUAAGCAUCGGCUAACUCCG
rnacentral:rRNA from 1 species